CCCCCCCCCCCCCCCCCCCCCCCCCCCCCCCCCCCCCCCCCCCCCCCCCCCCCCCCCUUUUUUUUUUUUUUUUGUUUUUUUUUUUUUUUUUUUUUUUUUGUUUUUUUUUUUUUGUUGUUUUUUCCACAGGGAUUCUCCUGGAGAUUCCCAGCUCCCCCUCCUGGCUCUGCCCAAGGGACGCUGGAGGUGACAAUUCCAGGGGUUUGGGAGCCUUUGGAAGGUCGGGCACAGGGAGAGGGGGAAGUGCUUCGUGUGUCUGAUCCCCUCAUCCCGGAAUUCCCGGGGAGAUGGAGGGAGCCAGCUCUGGAUCCAACUCUGGGAAUCCCUGGAGAGCCAGAGGGAUCCACCUCUGGGAAUUCCGGAAGAAUCAGAGGGAUCCAACUCUGAGAAUUUCCAGAGAGCCAGAGGGAUCCAGCUCUUGGAAUUCCAGGAGGGAUCCAGCUCUGGGAUUUCCCAGAGAGCCAGAGGGAUCCAACACUGGAUCCAACACUGGGAAUUCCCAGAGAGCUGAAGGGAUCCAGCACUGGAUCCAACACUGGGAAUUCCAGGAGAGCCAGAGGGAUCCAACACUGGAUCCAACACUGGGAAUUCCCAGAGAGCUGAAGGGAUCCAGCACUGGAUCCAACACUGGGAAUUCCAGGAGAGCCAGAGGGAUCCAACACUGGAUCCAACCCUUGGUGGCCCCAAGCAGGGCCUGGCCCAGCCCAGCUCCCCUGGUUGGGAUCCUGCCUAAAACCCCCAAAUUCCCGGAUUUCCUUCCUCUUCCCAAGCCUGGACUCCCAAACAUUCCAGAGGAGCCAACUCCAGCAUUCCCACUCCCUGGAUUCACCCCCAGGUGCCUCCCACUGACCCCUCUGUGUCCCAAACUGGGGGUGAUCCCAACAUGGAUUUUGGGUGUCCUGUGGGAUCGAUUCCCUGUGUGCAGGAUGGAUCCCAGCAACAUUCCCAGAAUUCCCAGUAUUCCCAGCCCUCUCUCCCUGCUCUCACACCUUCCAGAUUCCCCAGGGUUGGAUUUUGGAAGGACUGGGACAUUUGGGGUCUUUGGGGUCGCAAAUGGGGCUGGAGGCUGCGGGCAGGGAUUUGGGAUUUGAGAUAAAAAGGAUUUGGAAUCCCAGAGCAAUGUAGGGAUUUGGGAUCCUGGAGCAAUCCAGGGAUUUGGGAUUUGAGAUUAAAAGGAUUUGGGAUCCCAGCCCCCCCCCCCCCCCCCCCCCCCCCCCCCCCCCCCCCCCCCCCCCCCCCCCCCCCCCC
rnacentral:lncRNA from 12 species